rnacentral:pre_miRNA from 1 species
GCGAGUAGGUAAAAGGAAGCCAUGAGUUCUUAGAGCGGUGGUUAUGGGAACAUGGAGGAAAGCCUAGACUUCUUGGCCUCUUAAUUUAGGGGCAUAGAAUGUUUCGUGUUUUCCUGAUGCCUCCCAUGCCUAUUCUUCUUAGGUUCUCCUUCCUCUCCCUUAUGAUA